AAAAAUAUUUGGAUUAAUAAAAUUGAUUUAUACGUUUGCACCAAUUUAAUUAUAUAUGUAAUAGUUACUGAAUUUUAAUUAUUCAAUAUAUAUUUAUUAUUUCAUAAUAUAUAAGAACAUAUAAUACAUAAAAUAAUUUAUAUAUAUAAUGUUUAUCCCGCGCUAGGCGCAGGUCUUAAUCUAGUGGCUUAGUAAAAAUGAUGACAUUGCAUAAAGCUAAUUGUAACAUAGAUAUUUUCAUUCAGUGUUAAUUUAUUAUUUUGGUAAGCUUUUUAAAAUAUAGUAAUUACUCAUCAGUAAAUUAAAUCUAUUCAAAUAUAAUAUUAAAUUACUUAAAUAUUUGAUAUAAAUGUAACAAUAGUUAAAAUAUUAUUUAAUUCAAAUUUUUAUAAUUAUAUAAUUUAUUUUUACUAGAGAAUUUUCUUCAAGACUUUAUACAAAUUUUUAAAAAUUAUAAAUUUCAAAUCAUACUACCAUCUGUUUUCUUUUAAUAUCUAUAAAAUUUUGAAAUACUACUUAGUUUUAUCUUUUGAUAAAUAUAAAAUAUUUUUUUUCUAACAAGUUUUCUUUUAAUUCAAUGAAAUUUUAUCUAUUAUAUUUUAAAAAGCACGUACAUAAAAAAAAUCUAACAAAAUUAUAAUUUUAAAUAUAUACAUAUCCAUUUUAAUCUAUAAACUUAAAAUAAACAAAAAAUUUAUUUAUUUUAUGUUGAAAAAAAUUAAAAUAAAUCUAAACAAAUAAAAAUAUUAAAUUUUAUUUUUGCGCAUGGCCCAAGAAAACACCUAGUUACUAAUUAUAUUAAAAAGGACAUGACAUCCUAAACAAACUAUCUCAAGAUCUUAUUUUGUCUUUGAUUGAUUGAUAAAAUUGUGAGUUUUCUUUAUAUUUCUUGUUUUCGCUAGAUCUGUAGACACUGAUUUUAAACAUUUGAAGACUAAAUAAGAUAUUUGUGUUAUCGUAGUUUCCACUAUAUUUGAAUGGUAUCAAAACUAGUUUCUUAAUCAAAGUUCGGUUCUAUGGUAAUUUUAUAUGUUUGUCCCUCUUCUUAUGAAAUUUUUUUUCAACAUGAUUUACCGAAAACUUUGAUAACACAAAGACAUUAUUUAGUCUUCAAAAGUCUAAAACACCAAUGUUUUACCCAAAUGCAAGGGUAUAAGAAAUCAAAAACUCUUAUACCGUAAAUCAAUGAAAAUCAAUGAAAAUGAAUCUUACAAAUCAAGAUCUCACUAUAUCACUACAAGAAAACAAGGAUUUCCCUACUGAAUUUAGUGACUACAGCUGCAGUCGCUAAAUAUACCAACCGAAUACCUACUAUUUAGCUACUAAUUUGCGACCAAUACAAAUCCGUUACUAGUUGGUCGCUAAUUUACGACUACUAAACUUAGUCCUUAUUCAGUCGCUACUUUGCGACUAUUUAGCUACUUAUACUAGGUCGCUAUAUUUUUGUCGGCCAUCAGUCGCAAAAUACCGUUACAAAACACGUGGAAAUCGUUACUGAGUUUAGUACACCGGUUUUUGAUGACUGAUUGUUGUAGUCGCCAAAUCAGUAGCAAAAGAGUAGCAAAAUAGUAGCAAAACAGUCGGUAAAUAUUCUAUAUAUAGAUAAAAACCGACACAUUUCUUAUCUUAUCACCCGUAUAAGAAUCAUAUCCUUAAAAAAUUCGAGAAAAAAAAUCGUGAACAAGAGGAUUGAUGAAGAAACGGAGAAUUUCUCGAGAGAGUUUGUCGCGGGGGUAGAAGAAUUCAUGACGUUUGCAAAUAGUCAGGAAUUAACGCAGAGCAAUGGUGAAAUCAAGUAUGAGGGGGCGGUCGAUUUGAGAAUCACACUUUUUAAGUGUAAGUGGUAUGACCCUGUUUUUGGUAGAAGCACUCGGCGGAGCAAUGGUGGUAUCGUUGAUGUUCUUUCAUCGAGGAAAUACUACAAUAUGACCCAUUUAUUCUAGCUUCACAAGCAGAACAAGUUUGUUAUAUCCCGUAUCCGUAUGUAAAGAAACCAAAGCACUUGUGGCUCAAUGUUCUUAAAGUGAAUCCGAGGAGAUUAAUCGUUGCUGGAGAAUAUGAAGACGUAGCCUUGAUUACGUUACAACAAGAAAACGAUGAUGUUGUUCUGAUGACUACAGUUGAAGACCUACAAUUUGAGCAUUUGGUACAUGCUCGAAAAGAACCAAUAAAUCUCUAUUUCGAGGUGGCAGAUGGGGAACCAAAUGACGAAUUCCGAUGUAAUUUAUCGUCUUCUGAUGAUGAUGUUUAAGUUAUUUGAGGCAAUAUGUAAUGAUAUAUAUUAUUGAAACAUUUAUUUUA